CCUACGGGUGGCAGCAGUGGGGGAUAUUGGACAAUGGGGGAAACCCUGAUCCAGCGACGCCGCGUGAGUGAAGAAGUAUUUCGGUAUGUAAAGCUCUAUCAGCAGGGAAGAAAGACAUGACGGUACCUGAGUAAGAAGCCCCGGCUAACUACGUGCCAGCAGCAGCGGUAAUACGUAGGGGGCAAGCGUUAUCCGGAAUUACUGGGUGUAAAGGGAGCGUAGACGGUAAGGCAAGUCUGGAGUGAAAGGCGGGGGCCCAACCCCCGGAGUGCAGUUGAAACUGUGUGACUUGAGUGCAGUAGAGGCAGGCGGAAUUCGUAGUGUAGCGGUGAAAUGCGUAGAUAUUACGAAGAACACCAGUGGCGAAGGCGGCCUGCUGGACUGUAACUGACGUUGAGGCUCGAAAGCGUGGGGAGCAAACAGGAUUAGAUACCCCUGUAGUC
rnacentral:rRNA from 1 species